ACAGGUACAGUGGGUAGCACUGUUGCCUCACAGCAAGAAGGUCCUGGGUUCGAAUCCCAGCCUGGG
rnacentral:tRNA from 1 species